AUUUAAGUAGUUUAUAUAAAAUAAUGAUUUGUGGUGUCAUAGAUGUAGUUUAUUACCUUAAGUU
rnacentral:tRNA from 1 species